GCUGGGGCGGGCGCAGGACUGCAGGCUGGGGCUCCGCUCCCCGGCGGGAGCCCGCGCGUGGUUCCCAGCGAAGUCCCCGCGCGGCUGGGCCCAGCGCUUCUAAUGUGAGGAAAAACACGGAAUGACAAGUGUGGGAAAGAGCAAGCACUAAAUUACUGUCAGAAAAAUAAACGGAGUAGCACAGUGCUGCUCGGUGAUUUACGGGGGCAAUUAGUCACCACCCCACGGCGCUGCUGAGGACAGCACGGCAGCAGACAAGUCAGGCCCAUGAGGAAGAAGAGGCUUUGCACUGCUCUCCAGACAACUUUUCAAACAACAAGAGAGGAUAUUUGAGCACAUUAGGUUUUGUGUCUUCAUUCUGGCCGUGUGAAGAUGUGCCUGCUUCGCCUUCCAUCAUGACUGAAGUUUCCUGAGGCCUCCCCAGCUAUGCUCCCUAUACAGCCUGCAGAACGGUCGGCUGCCUCCAAUCCUGAGGUCAUCACUCAUCAAGAGGGGAUAAUCCCAGGGACAGCAGGAUCUGCUUCGUUACUUGGAUUUAGGAGCCAGAAACCCAUCAGGCAACUAAACAGUAACAAUGACCCGCCAUUAAACACACUGAGAGAAGAGCAUGAUGAAGAGUUUGUACAAGAAGAAGCCAGGAGCACUUGCUGACAAUGCUUACAGAGACGCAGGCUUCUAUGAGCUCUGCCUGUUGAACUGCAGUAAAAAUAGAUCUCCUUCCCCAGAGAGGCUUGGAUGUGGGCACAAUAUCAGUUCAGACGAUGGUCAAUGCAUGUACUUAAUAGAGUGAAAAGACUUUGGACUGUGAAGUCAGAUUACCUGGGUCUGAAUUGUUAUUCUUCUACUUCUUUGUAGUAUGCUUUCACCACAUUAAAAAUUGUCUGAGCCUCAAUUUUUUUAUCUGCAAAAUGGAGCUAAUACCUACACAGGGGCUUUUAAGAGAAUCAAAUGCAACAAUGUUUGAAAAGCAACAUACUCCCCUUUAUGGAAAAAGAGCCUGUAAAGGAACCAAUACAAUGGCUGGGCGUGGUGACUCACACCUGUAAUCCUAGCACUUUGGGAGGCCGAGGUGGGUGGAUUGCCUGAGCUCAGGAGUUCGAGACCAGCCUGGGCAACAUGGUGAAACCCCGACUCUACUAAAAUACAAAAGAUUAUCCUGGCGUGGUGGUGUGCACCUGUUAUCUAAGCUACUUGGGAGGUUGAAGCAGGAGAAUUGCUGGAACCUGGGAGGCAGAGGUUGCAGUGAGCCAAGAUCACACCACUACACUCCAGCCUGAGUGACACAAGACUGUGUCUCAAAAAUAAAUAAAUGAAUAAGUAAAUAAAUACAAAAUAAAUAAAAUAAAGGAACCAAUACAACAAA
rnacentral:lncRNA from 1 species